ACGGCAGCGGACCUUGAACCCUUGUGCAAAUUUACCAGGGGAUGUGGAAAAACAAACACCGAGGAGCCCGGAGAGAGCGGUGGUGGUGGUUAAAGCUACCUCUGAAUAGCAAUUUUCAAAUAGAGUUGGUAAUGAAUUUUGCAGCCAAAUGCUUUUGAUCAGACUGAGUUGGGAAUCAUUCAGACUAUGACUUUAGCAGACAAGGAGAUGAAGAGCUUAACUGUCUGUAAGCAGCUCCAAGUGCCCCUCUCAGGACUGGAUUUCACACCUCGUCACAGUCUGAAGCUGCACAAGAAAUCCUGGCUGGGAGAGCCACCACUUCCCUGAGCUCUCUCUUAGUGUGGGAAACCUUUCUACUGAGCCUCAAGUCCUACUCUUAAAGGAGUGGCAGAGAAAACAGGAUCAAGCCCAGAUUUCCAUUUCUACACAUAUUUGAAGAGCCAACACUAUUUCUGCAGGAAGAAAUGGCUAAACUUCCCAUUGUCUUUAAAAAGGCAAAGAAUGAAAGUAUCAGUCAAAUAUAUUUAAUUUGAUGGUAAAAGUCAGCAAUCAGUUGGUGUUACAUAAGUUGUGUCCCCAUACAGUUGAGAAACUCAACCCAGCCCGCCCUUUCCUGCCAAAGUGGAGCUUGGAGGCCCCAAGAAUCUCUUCUGCAGUAGUACUUCAGCAGUAAUCCCAAGGAGCAUGUUCAGACUUUCAGUUUUCUAUCAGAGUACCUACCUUCUCAGAGGCUGGCUUUCUUCUGUACCAGAUGCUGUACAAACACAGCACUUGAUCUUGUGUGCUCCAGUGACAGAUGGACAGCAAUGGCAAUACUGUCUGACAUUUCCGUUUGUAAGUAAACCAUAACUUGGCUGGCUCCAUGAUUUGAGUGUCAAAAGGAGGCCUUUGCAAGGCCCAUAGUGGCCAUGGCUUAGUGGGAUGAUGAGUAAGCAAUCCAAGAAGUGGAUUACUUCUUGGCCGUCAGCGCGCUGUGAUUUGCUUAUUAUCUUGCUUGCUAUAAUUAAUAAAACUUUUCUUUAAUUAAAUUUUAA